CGGAAAGGAAAUUUCUGGAACCUUCUAUUCUGCGGCGCUCCACAGCGAGCGGAGGGCUGAGGACUGCGCAGAUGGUGCACGGGCACAGCUCUUCGGUCCGGUUCGCCUCUCUCACCGACCAGCAAUGAAGAUGGCAGCUCUGCCUGGAAGUGCUGAGGACACAACCAGCCUUGAGCUUGGUCCUUCUGGCCGAGGAAGUCUCCCGAUUAUGCAGUGGAGUGAUUCCAUAGGGAAUUUCAGACUCUUGCUGCAGUCGUCACAACCCCUCCUGACUCACUGAGCCUUCGCUGGCUGUAGCUGGCUCCCUUGGAGCAUCCUUGCCUCCUGCAGCGCCAGAUCCGCAGAGCAGGGGAACAACAGGAAUAGCAGCGACGACGGUGGUCCCUGCAGCGAGACAGACAGGCAUAAAUACACAUACACACAGGAACAGUCCGAGGCAGCCGUGGAGGGAAUUCUGUACAGCCAGGAGCUGGACUAAGCCAUGAUUGCUCGGUUGCGUGGAAGACGGGUGGGUUGAGUCUCUUUUCCUGAGUGUUGGCUGCAUGGACGACUCUUUGUGGUUUUCCUGUCACAGUUGUGGGGUGGAGGACCCCGUAAUUUGUAAAGCUAGUGCUGCUUCAUGACAUUUCUCAGUGUUUUAAAGGAGGUGCCACUGGCAGCUGGUUCAGUGUUCAGUGCAGGGAUGUAUCUGAUUUAAUUCCCUUUGCCACCAUCUUUUUGCCACAGUUAGUUUAACUGAGAUUGAACACAGGGAGGGUAAGGAGACACAGAUAAACGAGGAGUUAUUUCAAUGUUAAACUUCAGCUGUAAAUCUCAUUACUCAGGAAUUGAGGUUACUGUCAGCAGGUAAAUCUGUGGGACUGGCAAGAAACAAGGCUAAGAAGGGGACAUGGCAUAUUUCUGUAGGACAGCAGUGAUUGUGUGCACAGGGGUGGCACUGUCACUGCAAGCUGUACGUGGCUUAACUGUUCCAUAAUCAUUUUCUGCAUGUUGACUCAAAAGGACUUGGGAAAGCUGUGAUUCCUUCCUCCCCCUGACACUUGUGCGUGUGCCAUUGUGUGAGCUGAUUCAUUUUUCCGAGUCUGGGUUUCCUUGCUCUGGGCAGUGGGGUUUGCUCCGUGUCUCGGCCCUGGUGCAGCACUGACGCAGUUCGUUAACGCGCCGGCCCUCGCUGACAAAACACACGCGAUUUUCUUGGGCGUUCUGACCCUUCCAAGGGCCGCAAAAUUCGGGCGAGGAAGUUCAGGAUUGCAAAUGCUCACGAUAUAAACUUAAAAGCAUCACCAUCCUAUUCUUUGCUAGUGGAGGAAGGCUCUGUGAGUGACGAGACAGCCACGAUCUCCCCCCUGCACUUGUUUUGCCGAUGGUCAUGUUACAUCUGUGACGCAGACGAAUUUUGCUGUUGGUUCCUGCCUGUGCUUUAGGGAGUCGGGCUGAUGAGGGCACAAGCUUGAAUAUGGUUAGAAACAUUAAUUUAGUAUUGCUGGUACAGGUUCAAACCAUACCUGAAGGGUCAGGGGUAUUGGAUGCACCUAUUUCACAGCCCCAAAUGGCGAAGGAAUUCGGAUGAACACAACAGCACCCCUGGCCAUUUUGCUGCUCGCAGAGUAGACUCGGAGCCUGCAGCUCUGCUGCUGCUGCUGCUGUUCAUUUCCAUGUUAUACAAAUACAGUGUUGGGCUCAGUGUCAGGAGCUUUCCUGAUGCUGUGAGAAGCUUAAAGUCUACAAGCAAAUGUUAUUCUUAUUUGGGAAGAUUAAUUAAAAUGACCAAAUGCCAAGUAUUCUACCCUCGCUCCUCUUACAAAUCACAUCCAGAAAAUUCAGCGGUGCCGUGUAUGUUUUUUAAAACUUAAUCACGGUGUUUUCUUACAGUUUAAUAUGGGUGUGGCUGGGGGGGAAGGGUAAGAUUUAAUUUGGUAAAUAUCUGUAAUGCUGAUGUUAAUGGACAAGUACGUAGGCAAGAGAUAGUUGUCCAUAUCCUCUAUAUAUCUGCAUAUAGAUACAGACAGUCCCAAGCCCAGGUUGGGAAGAUGCCCUCGUCACAAAAUGAGAAGGGACCACUCUGGCCCGUUCUCACCCACCCAAACGUUUCAGUGCAAAGGCAGCAGCAGAAAAGGCCAAGUUGGAAUCUCAAUCUCACAAAAUGGUUCCACCAGCACUCAGAGAUGCCAACGCCGUUUAUACUGGCACGGCUCCGAGAGCGGCACGGCGAGCUGCCUGCUGCAAGGUCAUUCCCCUGACUCAUGGUCAGCAACCAGUUAGUUCAGGA